GAUGAACGCUGGCGGCGUGCUUAACACAUGCAAGUCGAACGGAAAGGCUCCUGCUUGCAGGGGUACUCGAGUGGCGAACGGGUGAGUAACACGUGGGUGAUCUGCCCUGCACUUCGGGAUAAGCUUGGGAAACUGGGUCUAAUACCGGAUAGGACCGCAUUUUGGAUGGUGUGGUGGAAAGUUUUUUCGGUGUGGGAUGAGCUCGCGGCCUAUCAGCUUGUUGGUGGGGUAAUGGCCUACCAAGGCGUCGACGGGUAGCCGGCCUGAGAGGGUGUACGGCCACAUUGGGACUGAGAUACGGCCCAGACUCCUACGGGAGGCAGCAGUGGGGAAUAUUGCACAAUGGGCGCAAGCCUGAUGCAGCGACGCCGCGUGGGGGAUGACGGCCUUCGGGUUGUAAACUCCUCUCGCUAGGGACGAAGAGUAAUUGACGGUACCUGGAGAAGAAGCACCGGCUAACUACGUG
rnacentral:rRNA from 1 species